rnacentral:tRNA from 1 species
GAGGGUAUAGCUCAAAUGGUACAGUGCAUGCCUAGCAUUCACGAGGUCCUGGGUUCAAUCCCCAGUAUCUCCU